rnacentral:snoRNA from 1 species
GGAAUGAUGUUACAACAUAUAUUUGCUACUUCAGAGGGAAUAUUGAAAUCCCAAUGAGACCAAUCUAAAUCACCAAGAUCUCUGACC